rnacentral:rRNA from 1 species
UACGUAGGUGGCAAGCGUUGUCCGGAUUUACUGGGCGUAAAGGGUGAGUAGGCGGUUAUAUAUGUCAGGUGUAAAAAGCUAUGGCUUAACCAUAGUAAGCACUUGAAACUGUAUGACUUGAGUGCAGGAGAGGUAAGCGGAAUUCCUAGUGUAGCGGUGAAAUGCGUAGAUAUUAGGAGGAACACCGGUGGCGAAGGCGGCUUACUGGACUGUAACUGACGCUGAGUCACGAAAGCGUGGGUAGCAAACAGGAUUAGAUACCCGGGUAGUCCCUGA